rnacentral:rRNA from 1 species
UACAGAGGCCCCGAGCGUUAGUCGGAAUUACUGGGCGUAAAGGGCUCGUAGGCGGCCUGCUAAGUCGGACGUGAAAUCCCUCGGCUCAACCGAGGAACUGCGUCCGAUACUGGUGGGCUUGAAUCCGGGAGAGGGAUGUGGAAUUCCAGGUGUAGCGGUGAAAUGCGUAGAGAUCCGGAGGAACACCAGAGGCGAAAGCGGCGCUCUGGGCUGCACCUGACGCUGAACUGCGAAAGCCAGGGGAGCGAACGGG